GGUCAGUGAUGAGAUUUGACAUCUUUAUCUGAAUCUAAAGUUGAUGUGGUUUUAACACAGCUCUAGAAUUACUCUGAGACCUG